AAAAAUUUUAUUUAAAUUUUUUUUUCUGUGUUUUGAUAUAAAUUCUUAAUGCAGGCAAAUAUAUAUGAACCUUAUUAAACUAUGAUUAAAAUUGUGUUCAAGUCAUGAAAAACUGCAAGUUUUCUAAUUUUGCUGUGGAAAUUUUGUAAUUUUUUUUCUUUCAGAGGAUUGUAAUUGUCAAGAUUGGUGGAGUUGCAUAAUGUCUCAAAAUAUACUAAAUUCUUUUGUUUUCUCCUUUGAUAUGUCUACUGAUGCUGUUUUAUAUUUGUGAUUAUUUUCAAUCAUCACAUCCAUUAGCCCUUUCUAAGGCCGUGUUCGAAUGGUGCUUCAGAAAUAACAUAGAGGAGAGAUGAUCAACAAAGAUCGGCCAAGUAAUGAUGGCGCCAAAGGAGUUGCGCAUUUUCGCGAGCGCUGACAGGUCGACGGCACAUUCCCAAAUUACCAAUUAUUUUCAUUU